UGGGGGCUCUGAGCAGGCAUCUCUUUUACACCUUGUGAAUUGGCUGGGUUGCUUCCUAGUCUUUUGAGAGAAAUCAAAUGCAGUGAACUUGGGAAACCUGCACACUGAAUUUUUUGAAUGGGAUUCCCUUAUGUGAGUGAGUAAAGCAAUUUCUCUGGUUAAUUACUGAUGGGACAUCAGCUCUUCACUAGGCUAACCUUGGAGGGUUGAAGUAGUAAUCAAUGAUGGCACCAUUUUAAAGUAGCUAGUAUAACGUGAGGAGAAGGAGAGGAGUUUUUUACUUGGCCACAGUGUUGCACAUGAAGUGGAAAAUGAACCAUGAAAUGGGCAUAUCAUGCCCAUUCCCUCUGACUACAGAUUAAGCUUUUAAGCAACGGCCUUCAGAGAGUGGAUAUAAUGGGGAAGUGUCUGUCCCCAAAGGCAGAGACAAUUUUAUAGGGGCAUUUGCCUGCCCUAGAUUAAUGUAGUGGUUGUACUCUUAUUUCCUAAGAUGGGAGGUAGAACAGUAGCUUCCAUAUCUAAACUAAUUUGGGAAUUUCAAGCCUCUUGGCUCUCCCACAGAUUUCCAGGAGUUCACUCUACUCUUGGCAGUGAGGGAACGGCAAUAGUGACUGUUGAAAUGCUGUUUGCCGUAGAACUGCCCUAUGGAUGUUCUAACAUUGAGUUUCCUCCUAAGGACUAGGAUUCCAUUCAGUGACUGAUUUGAGAAGAAGCACAAACACUUUCAGAAGUAUGCUGGAGAUACCUAUUUUCCAGAUUGGAUUACCCAGGGGGCAUAAUGCUGGAGUUAAAUAGGAAAUAGAAUUAAAUAAUCUCAUCUCGCUUGGCAUUUCUUGGGAUAUUUUUUCUAAGAUCAAAGUGACACAUACACCCCAGGUCUGGUGCUGGGUGGAGGGAGGGUGGGAGGUUACUCUUGUACAUUUUUCCUCCAAGAAUUAAAGCACAAUUGUUCACAUCAUGUUUAGUAGAAAAAAUGGGGCAAGCUUUUGAUUGUGUUUCUCUUAGCUGCAACAUAAGUCAGCGGGAAAAUUAUCCUGGAUUUGAAUUAUGGGAUGCUUUUAAAUUUUAAAUCAGUUACGGUAUUAAACAUUUUACUAAAUGCUAAACACCGUGUAGACAGAAGAUAAUCAGAUCAGAACAGAGUCCCUGCCCCAGAACUCAACUAGGU
rnacentral:lncRNA from 1 species